GCACUGAUGGUUCAAUGGCAGAAUUCUCACCUUCCAUGUGGAAGGCCCUCGUUUGAUUCCUGGCCAGUGCA
rnacentral:tRNA from 1 species